rnacentral:rRNA from 1 species
UACGUAGGUGUCGAGCGUUGUCCGGAUUUAUUGGGCGUAAAGAGCCCGCAGGCGGCUUGGUAAGUUUGAGGUGAAAUCUCCCGGCUUAACUGGGAGGGGGCCUCGAAAACUGCCAGGCUUGAGGCAUGGAGAGGGAUGCGGAAUUCCCGGUGUAGUGGUGAAAUGCGUAGAUAUCAGGAGGAACACCGGUGGCGAAGGCGGGUCUCUGGGCCGAUACUGACGCUGAGGAGCGAAAGCGUGGGGAGCGAACAGG